GAAAUCCGGAUUGUUGCGAAACAACUUAAUCUUUUCAUCACCUCUAGAGACACACCUAAAGACGGCCAAACACCAGCGAGGAUAGUCGACUAAAAUGGUCAAAACAUUCAAAUUACAUAGCACAAAUAUAUUGUUUAUUUGAUGUUAAGGUUAAUUGUGUAUUGUUUUCUAGAGGCCUACAGAGUAAUAAAUCUUUAGUUUCUUUUCCGAUCAUUUUUGUCUGCUUAUUUUCAGUUUUAGUUAAAUAUGUACUUACACUUCAAUUGUUCCAUCGUUUUAUCACAGGUUGUUGCAGGGAGGUAAAUAAAAGCAUGUUACAUGAAACAUUUAUUGAAAUAUUUUUUGUUUGAUAGUUUUAAGAUAUAAAUAUUACUAUACUACAUUUUUUAUUUAUUUUUUGCUUCUUUCAAAGAAUGAGCACUUUUGCAAUAAGCUCAUGAUAACUGCUAACUUUAGUAAGUGAUAUUGCAAUCAUCAGAUUUUUGUUUUGUUUUUUUAUACUCCAAAAUAUAAUUGAUAUACAUAAAUAUUACGCUCAUCUCACAUCAUCCCUUGGAAAUCUGAAUUAAACUUUAAAAAUGUAUUCGGCAAUUACAACAACAACAAAAAAGGUGCAAAAUUUUAAGUAUGUCAAAUUGUAAAAUUUCACCGCAUAACAAAAGGUUGGACCCUUUUAUAAAAAUGUUUCCACUUUUUAGAAAUAACAUUUCAGAACUCACAAAAAUUACAAAAAAAUAAAAUAAUUGGUCUAUUUAAUGCAAUAUUAUCGCAAGUAAAAAUAGCAAUAGUUAAAAAUUGAAACAAAAACAGAUGUGCAUUUUCAAAAAAAAAAAAAAACACUAUUUAAA